GUGAAGUGAGAAGAGCCAUUUAGGCUAAAAUACUUCAUAAGCCAACAAAGGCUGAAGCAUAUAAUCAAAAGGCUAGAUAGUUAAGCCUCGUCAAGUAAACUAAAGUACAUUGGAAUAUUGUGGAAUUAUUAAAGAAGACGGAACACAAAGCAUAAAGAAUAAAGAUUCAAAGUUGUGCUCAGCUCAAACAAAUAGAGAGAUAAGUUGAUAUAUUAAGAAUACUAUAUUAUUAUAAUAUUAUAGAGACGCUAAUUCAUAUUGCUGAAAGUAAAUAAAAAUAUAUAAAAGGUAUAAGGUUUCAUGCUAUUUGUGUUACGGUAGCGUUAAUAUAAUUUGAACCCGAAGCCUAAAGGUUGAAAAUAUACCUAAUUGGAAAAUAUAUUUGACGCAUAAAUAACGCACCAUAACAAUAGGAAAUGAGGGAAAUACGUGA